rnacentral:rRNA from 1 species
GACGGAGGAUGCAAGCGUUAUCCGGAAUUAUUGGGCGUAAAGCGUCCGUAGGCGGUGAAUCAAGUCUGCUGUCAAAGACUGCAGCUUAACUGUGGGCAGGCAGUGGAAACUGAUUUACUGGAGUACGGUAGGGGUAGAGGGAAUUCCCAGUGUAGCGGUGAAAUGCGUAGAUAUUGGGAAGAACACCAGUGGCGAAGGCGCUCUACUGGGCCGUAACUGACGCUGAGGGACGAAAGCUAGGGGAGCGAAAGGG